GGGGAUGUAGCUCAGUUGGUAGAGCGCUUGAAUGGCAUUCAAGAGGUCAGGGGUUCGAUUCCCCUCAUCUCCA
rnacentral:tRNA from 3 species